rnacentral:rRNA from 1 species
GACGAACGCUGGCGGCGUGCUUAACACAUGCAAGUCGAACGGUGAAGCGCCUUCCUUUUUGGUGGGUGUGGAUGAGUGGCGAACGGGUGAGUAACACGUGAGUAACCUGCCCCCUUCUUCUGGAUAACCGCAUGAAAGUGUGGCUAAUACGGGAUAUUCUGGGCCUGUCGCAUGAUGGGUCUGGGAAAGAUAUUGUUUCGGUGGGGGAUGGGCUCGCGGCCUAUCAGCUUGUUGGUGGGGUGAUGGCCUACCAAGGCGGUGACGGGUAGCCGGCCUGAGAGGGUGGACGGUCACACUGGGACUGAGACACGGCCCAGACUCAUACGGGAGGCAGCAGUGGGGAAUAUUGCACAAUGGGCGCAAGCCUGAUGCAGCGACGCCGCGUGAGGGAUGGAGGCCUUCGGGUUGUGAACCUCUUUCGCCAGUGAAGCAGGCCUGCCUCGUUUGUGGGUGGGUUGACGGUAGCUGGAUAAGAAGCGCCGGCUAACUACGUG